GACGAACGCUGGCGGCGUGCCUAAUACAUGCAAGUCGAACGCUUCUUUCCUCCCGAGUGCUUGCACUCAAUUGGAAAGAGGAGUGGCGGACGGGUGAGUAACACGUGGGUAACCUACCCAUCAGAGGGGGAUAACACUUGGAAACAGGUGCUAAUACCGCAUAACAGUUUAUGCCGCAUGGCAUAAGAGUGAAAGGCGCUUUCGGGUGUCGCUGAUGGAUGGACCCGCGGUGCAUUAGCUAGUUGGUGAGGUAACGGCUCACCAAGGCCACGAUGCAUAGCCGACCUGAGAGGGUGAUCGGCCACACUGGGACUGAGACACGGCCCAGACUCCUACGGGAGGCAGCAGUAGGGAAUCUUCGGCAAUGGACGAAAGUCUAACCGAGCAACGCCGCGUGAGUGAAGAAGGUUUUCGGAUCGUAAAACUCUGUUGUUAGAGAAGAACAAGGACGUUAGUAACUGAACGUCCCCUGACGGUAUCUAACCAGAAAGCCACGGCUAACUACGUG
rnacentral:rRNA from 1 species